rnacentral:lncRNA from 1 species
ACCUGCUGAACCUGGGGCAGAAGAAAGGGCAGAGCACUGGGGAGGGGCUCCCUCUGAGGUCAGGCAAGCAGCUGGCUGUGGCUCAGGGGACGACUCCUCCUCCCCCACCACCCCCCUGGGCCAUACCACAGAAGACCCCAGGACCCUCCAAACCUGGGGUGCUCUGCCUCUCCCCGCAAGGGGCAGCCACACUCAGAGCAGGAAGCUGGGGGACAUCUGUAUUUAUUUGAGGCACCAAAGCAGCAGGAGGGCUCCAAUGUGGGGGUGGGCUGCCCUUGAAGUGCAUGCAGCUGUGCCAGGGCAGGGGGCUACAGGGACUGAGGCUCUCCAGGCUGCUG